rnacentral:tRNA from 1 species
UCCCUAGUGGCUUAGCAGUUAAAGAUUCAGCAUUGUCACUGCUAUAGUUCAGGUUCAGUCCCUGACCUGGGAA